UACAGAGGGGGCAAGCGUUGUUCGGAAUUACUGGGCGUAAAGGGCGCGUAGGCGGCCUGUUAAGUCGAACGUGAAAUCCCCGGGCUCAACCCGGGAACUGCGUCCGAUACUGGCAGGCUUGAAUCCGGGAGAGGGAUGCGGAAUUCCAGGUGUAGCGGUGAAAUGCGUAGAUAUCUGGAGGAACACCGGUGGCGAAGGCGGCAUCCUGGACCAACAUUGACGCUGAGGAGCGAAAGCUAGGGGAGCAAACGGG
rnacentral:rRNA from 1 species